rnacentral:lncRNA from 1 species
AUUUAUAUCCGUAUAUCGUGGGGGGGGGCAUCCCAGUGUGACCCCAGUGGGUGAAUGUCACCUGCCGGUGACACCCAGGCCCCACUGGUCCCAUCCCGGUAUGGUGCUGGUGCCCCAAAUGGACCCAAGUGCCCCAUCCCCAGUAUCACUCCAGUCCCCCAACAUCCCAUCCCAGUAUGACCCCAGUCUCCAGUUGUCCCUUCCCAGUACCCCCCCAGUCUGAAAAUGGCCCCUCCCAGUACCACCCCAGUCCCCACAGGUCCCAUCCCAGUAUCACUCCAGUCCCUCGCUGCCCCCAUCCCAGUAUGACCCCAGUCCCCACAGGUCCCAUCCCAGUAUCACCCCAGUCUCCAGUUGUCCCUUCCCAGUACCCCCCCAGUCUGCAAAUAUCCCAUCCCAGUAUGACCCCAGUUCCCAAAUGUCCCCUCCCAGUACCACCCAGUCCCCACUGGCCCCGUCCCAGUCUCAAGCUGGUGCCCCAAAUGGACCCAAGUGUCCCAUCCCAGUAUGACCCCAGUCCCAAAUGUUCAUCCCAGUACGGCCCCAGUCCUCAAUUGUCCCAUCCCAGUAUCACUGUGCCCCCAAACAUCCCGUCCCAGUAUCACUCCAGUUGUCAAAUGUCCCAUCCCAGUAACAUCCCAGUCCCCCCAUUUCCCAUCCCAGUACCACUCCAGUCCUCAGUUGUUCCAUCCCAGUAUAACUCUGGUGCCCCAAAUGUCCCCUCCCAGUAUCACCCCAGUCCCCCAACAUCCCAUCCCAGUAUGACCCCAGUGCCCCCAUGUCCCAUCCCAGUAUGACCCCAGUCCCCAAAUGUCCCAUCCCAGUACCACCCAGUCCCCACUGGCCCCAUCCCAGUACCAAGCUGGUGCCCCACAUGGACCCAAACGUCCCAUCCCAGUAUCACUGUGUCCCCAAACAUCCCAUCCCAGUAUCCCUCCACUUCUCAAAUGUCCCAUCCCAGUAACAUCCCAGUCCCCAGCUGCCCCCAUCCCAGUAUGACCCCAGUGCCCCCAGGUCCCAUCCCAGUAUCACUCCAGUCCCAAAUGUCCCCUCCCAGUAUGACCCCAGUCCCCAUAGAUCCCAUCCCAGUAUCACCCCAGCCUCCAGUUGUCCCUUCCCAGUAUCCCCCCAUUCUGCAAAUGUCCCGUCCCAGUAUCACCCUAGCCCCCCAACAUCCCAUCCCAGUACCCCCCCAGUCCCCAAAUGUCCCCUCCCAGUACCACCCAGUCCCCACAGAUCCCAUCCCAGUACCAAGCCAGUGGCCCAAAUGGACCCAAAGGCCCCAUCCCAGUAUCACUCCAGUGCCCCCAUG